rnacentral:rRNA from 1 species
GUGAAAUUGUUGAAAGGGAAACGAUUGAAGCCAGUCGUACCUUCGGGUAAUCAGCCUUUCGGGUGUGAUUAUGUGGAGUGUGAGGAGCUUAAACACCUUCAUGUUUUGCAUAUUCGUACUCUUGGGUGUACUUGCCCGUGUGGUUGGUUAACAUCAAUUUUGGUGGUCAUAAAAUGACUGGAGGAAUGUAGCUUCGAUCUCGUAUUGAAGUGUUAUAGCCUUCGGUAGAUGUGGUGAUCGGGAUUGAGGAUUGCAACGAUACCCUUCGGGGCUAACCCGUUAGAUCAAAUUGAUGGUCGAUGGGUUACAUUCGUUUAGGAUGUUGACGUAAUGGCUUUAAACGAC